rnacentral:tRNA from 1 species
AGAAAAAACUUGGAGUAAAGCAGGGCUGCUAACUUUGUUUUGGGUAAUUCAAUUUUAUCCUUUUUCUU